UUCUGCGUGAGGGCGCAGCUGGAAAUCCUUUUCUAGCGAAGGAAAUGCGGUGGCGGGAAAAGAUUGAAAGCGGAGACCGACCCUUU
rnacentral:misc_RNA from 1 species